rnacentral:rRNA from 1 species
GUGUGAGGCGUGCGAGGGCUGUCGCUGACUUUUUGAGACACAAAAGUCGUGCACGCCGGAGUACGUCCUCUCACAUAAAAUCCAUCUCACCCUUUUGUGCACCACCGCGUGGGCGCCCUUUGGGAUCGAAUCGAUCCAGGAGGGGGCUUGCGUUUUCACACAAACCCCUUUUAAAAAGUGUAGAAUGACCCCACUUUGCGAUGACACGCAAUCAAUACAACUUUCAACAACGGAUCUCUUGGCUCUCGCAUCGAUGAAGAACGCAGCGAAAUGCGAUACGUAAUGUGAAUUGCAGAAUUCAGUGAAUCAUCGAAUCUUUGAACGCACCUUGCGCCCCUUGGUAUUCCGAGGGGCACACCCGUUUGAGUGUCGUGAAAAUCUCAACCUUCUCGGUUUUCUUCUGGACACCGAAGGAGGCUUGGACUUUGGAGGCCUUUGCCGGCAUCUCUCUCUUCUUGAGAGCCAGCUCCUCUUAAAUGAAUUAGCGGGGUCCUCUUUGCCGAUCCUCGACAUGUGAUAAGAUGUUUCCAUGACUUGGUUUCUGGCUCUGUUGCCUUUGGGACCCGCUUCUAACCGUCUCGACGAGACGACGUUUGCGCGCGUCUCCCUUCUCGGGAGACACUCUCAACCCCACGAACCCUUGACCUCAAAUCGGGUGAGACUACCCGCUGAAC